rnacentral:rRNA from 1 species
CGGCACGGGUGAGUAACACGUAUCCAACCUGCCGUCUACUCUUGGCCAGCCUUCUGAAAGGAAGAUUAAUCCAGGAUGGCAUCAUGAGUUCACAUGUCCGCAUGAUUAAAGGUAUUUUCCGGUAGACGAUGGGAUGCGUUCCAUUAGAUAGUAGGCGGGGUAACGGCCCACCUAGUCAACGAUGGAUAGGGGUUCUGAGAGGAAGGUCCCCCACAUUGGAACUGAGACACGGUCCAA